UUUUAUGUACAUGCCUACAACAUUAAUGCAUUGAAUCCAAUCAGAUAUCCAUAAUUAAUCACGCUUGGGUUAGAGUAGUACUGGGAUGGGUGACCUAUCUGGAAGUCUUAUUGUUUUACAU
rnacentral:rRNA from 1 species